rnacentral:tRNA from 1 species
AUUUAAAUAGUUUCAUUAAAACACUAAUUUGUGGCAUUAGAGAUGGUAACUUAAUUCUUACCUUUAAAUC